ensembl:lncRNA
CUCGGAGCGGCUCGGCUCAGCGGCUGCGCCCCCGCCGCUAUAUAACCGGCGGCCGCCGCGCCGUACCGCUUCGUCCUGCCGGCGGGAGGAGGUGGUAGCGGUGGGCGGCAGGUUUCCACCCUGGGACUGUCUUCUAAGGCAAACUAUCACCAAUGGAAGUAAAAUUUGUUUUUCCAGCGUUCUGGGUUGGGUUUCUGUUUGAUGUCAAGAAUUAAGAAACAAGGGCUUUGAAGUUGUGAUCGUUCUGGAGAAGAAAUACAUCGAGUGAUGCAUGUUGGCCCCCAGCAAGGGGCUGAAAACGAUGCAGUCACUGCAGCAAGGAGGCGUGUUGCCCCUUCAGCCGGGAUGUGGUAGGAGUGUGCUCGCAGAUCUGGUGUCUUCGUAUUACAUCACCAAGUACUGAGAUACUGUCCUUCAAAAUGAUUUUCUCUAUCAGAAGAGGAGAAAAACCAGUGUGCACACAAAAACCCCACAAACUUACCAGACUUAACUUGAUUGCUUAUGCCUUCUUGUCGACCCAAACAGUAUUCCCAAUAGGAAUAGUUAUGUAUAAAGAUUUCUCUGAAGGAUAGACUCAGGCUGCUUCAUAAAUGAAUUUAACUUUUUUUAUUUUAAAUAAAAUCUCUGAAAUAUUCUUGAAGAAUAUAUUUGGAUGUUAAUGUAUAUUUUACUUGUGUUGAGAAUUUUAUGAACAGAGAACCUGUGUUUCCUUAAGCGUACAUCUUGUUUUAGAAUGUGUGUUUCUCAGUGUUCACUCAUAAGGGCAAUAUUAAUAUUUGAUGUAUUUAGAGAUCUGUGCCAUUAUAAAUUAGAAUAGAACACAGUGAACUGUGAACAUUUCAUGCUUCUAAAAGAAACCUGCAUUAUUCUAUUUUUGCUGUGAAUCCAUGUUCCACUCAUACUGAAUUUCAAAGACUACUCUGCUAAACUUUCCUAGGCAAUUGGCUUGGCAUCUGUUAAUUUAAUUCCCAUGUAACACUAACAGGAUAUAAAUUAGUGCUCUGGGGACUGCUGAUAAUACUCAGUGAAACUUUGAAAAGGGAUGGUGUUCCUAAUACUGCAAACAG